rnacentral:rRNA from 1 species
GCUUCGGUGGUGGAUUAGUGGCGAACGGGUGAGUAACACGUGGGCAAUCUGCCCUGCACUCUGGGACAAGCCCUGGAAACGGGGUCUAAUACCGGAUAUGACACGGGAUCGCAUGGUCUCCGUGUGGAAAGCUCCGGCGGUGCAGGAUGAGCCCGCGGCCUAUCAGCUUGUUGGUGGGGUGAUGGCCUACCAAGGCGACGACGGGUAGCCGGCCUGAGAGGGCGACCGGCCACACUGGGACUGAAACACGGCCCAGACUCCUACGGGAGGCAGCAGUGGGGAAUAUUGCACAAUGGGCGCAAGCCUGAUGCAGCGACGCCGCGUGAGGGAUGACGGCCUUCGGGUUGUAAACCUCUUUCAUCAGGGAAGAAGCGCGAGUGACGGUACCUGCAGAAUAAGCACCGGCUAACUACGUGCCAACAGCCGCGGUAAUACGUAGGGUGCGAGCGUUGUCCGGAAUUAUUGGGCGUAAAGAGCUCGUAAGCGGCUUGUCGCGUCGGAUGUGAAAGCCCGGGGCUUAACCCCGGGUCUGCAUUCGAUACGGGCAGGCUAGAGUUCGGCAGAGAGAGAUUGGAAUUCCUG